rnacentral:miRNA from 1 species
UUGUGCGUGUGACAGCGGCGGU